UCUGUUGUCUUCCAAACUUCUUCCAAGUAAAUACAGAUUAUAAUUAUUCCAAACUUACAAAUGCAAGCAGCUCUUGGAACUACAUGGAUUGAACCCAGUGCCUCACAUGCAAGGCAAAUGCUCUACUGCUGAGCUGUGACCCCAGCCCUCCUAUGGUCUUUUAAACAGAAACCUAACAGUGACUUCCCACUACCACGACAAAGAAACAGUGUCCAGAACAGGAUGUAAGAGUGUCUACCUCCUCCA